UACGUAGGGUGCGAGCGUUAAUCGGAAUUACUGGGCGUAAAGGGCGCGUAGGCGGCCUGCUAAGUCGGACGUGAAAUCCCUCGGCUCAACCGGGGAACUGCGUCCGAUACUGGUGGGCUUGAAUCCGGGAGAGGGAUGUGGAAUUCCAGGUGUAGCGGUGAAAUGCGUAGAUAUCUGGAGGAACACCGGUGGCGAAGGCGGCAUCCUGGACCGGUAUUGACGCUGAUGCGCGAAAGCCAGGGGAGCAAACGGG
rnacentral:rRNA from 1 species